rnacentral:rRNA from 1 species
AUGCGUUGUUGGGUAGGGGAGCGUUCUGUAAGCCUGCGAAGGUGUGCUGUGAGGCAUGCUGGAGGUAUCAGAAGUGCGAAUGCUGACAUAAGUAACGAUAAAGCGGGUGAAAAGCCCGCUCGCCGGAAGACCAAGGGUUCCUGUCCAACGUUAAUCGGGGCAGGGUGAGUCGACCCCUAAGGCGAGGCCGAAAGGCGUAGUCGAUGGGAAACAGGUUAAUAUUCCUGUACUUGGUGUUACUGCGAAGGGGGGACGGAGAAGGCUAUGUUGGCCGGGCGACGGUUGUCCCGGUUUAAGCGUGUAGGCUGGUUUUCCAGGCAAAUCCGGAAAACUAAGGCUGAGGCGUGAUGACGAGGCACUACGGUGCUGAAGCAACAAAUGCCCUGCUUCCAGGAAAAGCCUCUAAGCAUCAGGUAACAUCAAAUCGUACCCCAAACCGACACAGGUGGUCAGGUAGAGAAUACCAAGGCGCUUGAGAGAACUCGGGUGAAGGAACUAGGCAAAAUGGUGCCGUAACUUCGGGAGAAGGCACGCUGAUAUGUAGGUGAAGUCCCUCGCGGAUGGAGCUGAAAUCAGUCGAAGAUACCAGCUGGCUGCAACUGUUUAUUAAAAACACAGCACUGUGCAAACACGAAAGUGGACGUAUACGGUGUGACGCCUGCCCGGUGCCGGAAGGUUAAUUGAUGGGGUUAGCGCAAGCGAAGCUCUUGAUCGAAGCCCCGGUAAACGGCGGCCGUAACUAUAACGGUCCUAAGGUAGCGAAAUUCCUUGUCGGGUAAGUUCCGACCUGCACGAAUGGCGUAAUGAUGGCCAGGCUGUCUCCACCCGAGACUCAGUGAAAUUGAACUCGCUGUGAAGAUGCAGUGUACCCGCGGCAAGACGGAAAGACCCCGUGAACCUUUACUAUAGCUUGACACUGAACAUUGAGCCUUGAUGUGUAGGAUAGGUGGGAGGCUUUGAAGUGUGGACGCCAGUCUGCAUGGAGCCGACCUUGAAAUACCACCCUUUAAUGUUUGAUGUUCUAACGUUGACCCGUAAUCCGGGUUGCGGACAGUGUCUGGUGGGUAGUUUGACUGGGGCGGUCUCCUCCUAAAGAGUAACGGAGGAGCACGAAGGUUGGCUAAUCCUGGUCGGACAUCAGGAGGUUAGUGCAAUGGCAUAAGCCAGCUUGACUGCGAGCGUGACGGCGCGAGCAGGUGCGAAAGCAGGUCAUAGUGAUCCGGUGGUUCUGAAUGGAAGGGCCAUCGCUCAACGGAUAAAAGGUACUCCGGGGAUAACAGGCUGAUACCGCCCAAGAGUUCAUAUCGACGGCGGUGUUUGGCACCUCGAUGUCGGCUCAUCACAUCCUGGGGCUGAAGUAGGUCCCAAGGGUAUGGCUGUUCGCCAUUUAAAGUGGUACGCGAGCUGGGUUUAGAACGUCGUGAGACAGUUCGGUCCCUAUCUGCCGUGGGCGCUGGAGAACUGAGGGGGGCUGCUCCUAGUACGAGAGGACCGGAGUGGACGCAUCACUGGUGUUCGGGUUGUCAUGCCAAUGGCACUGCCCGGUAGCUAAAUGCGGAAGAGAUAAGUGCUGAAAGCAUCUAAGCACGAAACUUGCCCCGAGAUGAGUUCUCCCUGACUCCUUGAGAGUCCUGAAGGAACGUUGAAGACGACGACGUUGAUAGGCCGGGUGUGUAAGCGCAGCGAUGCGUUGAGCUAACCGGUACUAAUGAACCGUGAGG